CAAGACGAAGAACCAGCAAACUUCUUUGACUUGCGAAUCCGAGUAGCUCAUCAAAUGGAGAUGCUCAGUUCUGGUCUCAUUUCCUUGCGGCUUCCUUCCCUUUGUUUUGGCAAUUCAACAGAGGUCGUAAUCUGUAUAUUUUUUAGUUAAUUUUGCACCAUCAUUCUUUUGUAACAGAUGAAAAAUUAGUGUUAUUAAGAGGCCUUCCCAUUUAUUGGCAAAUCCAGUUGUCAUUGUUUUUGAUAGAUGACAAUAAAAAAGUCCCUUGUUGCUGUAAUUGCUUUUUGUUUGGACAAACAAAUUUAGUGGGGAAUUUGUUUGGCUAUGGAAGGGG
rnacentral:misc_RNA from 1 species